rnacentral:tRNA from 1 species
GUGGGUAUAGCUCAGUGGUAGAGCACCUGCUUAUCAUGCAUGAGUUCCUGGGUAUGAUCCCCAAUACUUCCA